UACGGGGGGGGCAAGCGUUGUUCGGAAUUACUGGGCGUAAAGGGCUCGUAGGCGGCCAACUAAGUCAGACGUGAAAUCCCUCGGCUUAACCGGGGAACUGCGUCUGAUACUGGAUGGCUUGAGUGUGGGAGAGGAAUGCGGAAUUCCAGGUGUAGCGGUGAAAUGCGCAGAUAUCAGGAGGAACACCGGUGGCGAAGGCGGGUCUCUGGGCAACAACUGACGCUGAGGAGCGAAAGCGUGGGGAGCGAACAGG
rnacentral:rRNA from 1 species